GGAAAAGAAAAAGGAGGAAAAAGAAAAAAGGAAAAAGAAAAAAGGAGAAAAAAAAAGGAAAAUUAAAAAAAAAGGAGAUAAUAAAAAAAAAGGAAAAUAAUAAAAAAAAAAGAAAAAAAAGGAAAAAAAACCUAAAAAAAGGAAAAAAAAAAUGAAAUAAAAAAGAAAAAAAUAACAAAAAAAAAAAAAACUAAACAAAAAUAAUGGAAAAAACGGCAAAGAUUUCCCGGGAAGGCGCCGGGAAGGACCCGCCUGGGUGUUGUGGAAGUGUCACGUCCGUGUCGUGUGCCCCGCCGGGGCGGCACCGGGACCCCCGCGGGGGCCGAGAUCCCUGAUCCUGUAUUUGCACUGUUUUUAUUCUGGAUUGGCUUCCCGACAAUACACGGCUCCAACAACCCCGGCUGCGCCUCUUCCUCUGCCCCGACCCCGGGGCUGCCAACUGGGAACUGGGAACUGGGAACUGGGAACAACUGGGGGGGUUCUGCCCCAAACCCCGGCACUUCAGCCCCGCCCAACCCUUGGGUUCCGCUCGCGCUUUUCGGGAUUUUACACCCAGGCUUGGGGUUUUUUUAUUAUUAUUUCCCGGCCAAAUUCGGGGAUUUGGGGGAAAUUUCCAGGGGUUCAGCCCAGCUUGGCUUUCAGAGAAAGAAAUUCAAUAUUUUAGCCCAAAUUUCAGGCCAAAAGGGUGAGAUUUUGGUCCCGGUUCACGAGGUUUUAGGCUCAGUUUCCGUGUUUUGAUCCCAAAUCCGCAGGAUUUCGGUCCCCGGGUUCUGGAUUCAGGCCAGGCUUGGAGGAUUUCGGUACCAAUUUGUGGGAUUUCAGCCCCAGCUUGCAGGACUUUACCCCCAGUUUCUGGAUUCAGCCCCAAAUCAGUGAAUUUAAUCCCCAUUUCCAGGGUUUCUGCAGGAUUUCAAUUCCCUUUUCUCUCUUUUCAGGCCAAAUUUCGGGGAUUUUGGCCCCCGAUCUGUGGGGUUUGGUCCAAAUUUGGACGUUUUCAGCCCAAAUUUGCAGGAUUUUAGGCCCAGUUUCUGGCUUGGGGUGGGGGCGGGUGGAAAUGGGGCUUUUUGCACAAAUUUAAGGGGUUUUCCCCAUUUUUUCCCCUCUUUCCCAUCGGGUUUGAGCUCGGGGCCGAUGGCAAAGUUGGGGGAGGGGGGUGAGGAUCCCCCAUUUUUUGGAGAAAGGCUUAAAAAUAAAAUGAAUUAAAACUUCGGCCCUUUUUGUAAU
rnacentral:lncRNA from 1 species